UACGGAGGGUGCAAGCGUUAAUCGGAAUUACUGGGCGUAAAGGGCGCGUAGGCGGCCUGGUAAGUAGGGGGUGAAAUCCUGCGGCUUAACCGCAGGGCUGCCUUCUAAACUGUCAGGCUCGAGCACGGUAGAGGCAGAUGGAAUUCCCGGUGUAGCGGUGGAAUGCGUAGAGAUCGGGAAGAACAUCAGUGGCGAAGGCGGUCUGCUGGGCCGUUGCUGACGCUGAGGCGCGACAGCGUGGGGAGCAAACAGG
rnacentral:rRNA from 1 species